AUACUCGGGUAAUCGCUGUAUUGCAUCUGUGAUACAGAGGAAAGUCCAUGCUCGCACAAGCUGAGAUGCUUGUAGUGUUCGUGCCUGACGAAACCAUAAGUCAGGGUAACUUUUAAGUUAACGGCAGGGAAGAUACCUACGUCCCUUAGGGGAUAGGGUAUUGCUACCUUGAAAGUGCCACAGUGACGGAGCCAGAAUAGAAAUAUUCUGGGUGGAACGAGGUAAACCCCGCGAGCGAGCAACCCAAAUUAAGGUAGGGGCACUUUUUGAAGGGAAUUCAACCCGAUAAGAGGUCGCGUUAUGCGGCAGAUAGAUGGUUACCACCGGAGUACGAGGUUGACCGCCGUUUGUAGUACGAUGGAACAGAACAUGGCUUACAGAG
rnacentral:RNase_P_RNA from 1 species